UUCGUCACUUUGCCUUCGAAAUGAACAAUGGCUUGGCAGAAUGAAAGACACCUCUCAAAUGAAAAUUUAUCCAGGCAGGCAGUUUUAAAGGAUGGUUUGUGUGCAAGUUCAGGGAACAAAAUAGGGCUUUCUUCAGCCAAUCAGGAGUGAUCCUUAAGUCAAGCUGGCUCCAAGACACGGUAUUACAGCGACAUAAGAAUGAAGAGCAAACCAAAGCAUUUCUCAGCAAGAGGGAACAAUUGUUUUAAAUCCGUUCGCUUCAAAUCGAUCUCAGGCUCGGUUGAUAUGAAAAAAUGGCAGCACUGGCGUACACCUUUGGAAAACGAUUUGAUCGAUUGGUAAAAUCAAACGAUUUCCUUGAGUACACGAGAAGAUUCAAUUUUCACCUUCCGCCAGUUGAAACAAUAGUCCAACAAUGCUUUCAAGGGCCUGAAUUGGCCGUUUGUCAUUGUGGUCAAAUGGCGCACAAUUAAUCACACUGUUCUGUAAUUAACCCGCGCACCUUUUAGUAAUUUCGAUUUCAGAGUUCAAAGUUUCUCGUUCUUAAAAUCUCCGUACGCCCUUAUCCCGGUAUUACAGAAAAAAUACGUGAACAGAUCUAUAAAUAUUAAUCAGUCUUGUGGCAUAUAUUUCAGUGGUUACGGUGUAAUAACAAUUUCAGAUAGGAAAAAAAUAAAACUGGCCGGAAGUUUUAAUGGCAGCCAAAACAAGUUUAAGCGCUUAGCAAGGUACUUGGACUUUGUAACCUAACAAAUCAUUUUAUCAACAGCUUUUGACAAAACUGAACAUAUGCAUUACCGUGAAAUCAAACCCGUCAACGUCUGCGCAAUUAACAAUUAACAACCGCUUUAAAAGAAGUUAAUUACGCGGUGUACUAUUAUGCGAAGAGUUUUAGAAUGUGAUUAAUUAGAUCGUACUGUACAGAUUGAGCCGUAUAUGGUGUACCCGAAAGGAUAAUCCAGUAUUAUACGAACACAAAAUCCCCUCAGCAUGAAAGACCUUGCAAUAGUGCGGUAUUACAUACACCGAAUGCAAAUAUGGCGUCCAAUUUGAAUUGCCAUAGUUCUGGACUGACUAGCCUCGUCUUCACGUGGAAACACAAAAGGAUUAUCACAUGGAUUGGACGCCAUAUUUGCAUUCGGUGUAUAUAUGCUACAUCUAUGAACCAUUAAAACCAGAACAAAAACCUUUUUCACAUGAAAUUACUGCUCUCUGGCUUUUUGUAUCUUCAACUUUCUGAAAGUUGUAUCAAUAACCCCAAAGAGUAUGGUAGAUCAUACCAUAAAAACAGCUGCGUCACCUCAUCAUAGUGGGGCAUGAAAAAGAGUCGAUGAAUUGUACCAUAUAUAAAAGUACUGUACAGGACUGGACUGUUCAAAGCUGAGUUAAGAUAACCCAAGGUUUGUGUAAAGUUUGACUUCAGAUCUGAAAGCUUUAAAGGGAAAUUCAGUUUAAUUCUUUUCUUCUACAGUUUAGUUUGAAGAUUAGAUUCUCUGAAAAGAAUAAGGAAAAUUA